ACCUGGGUGCGAUCUUCGAAAGAUUUACUGCGCAAAACACGAGAGUACGUGCAGUUGCGCGUGGUAGGUCUGAAUUGAAGAACCGGCCCAGUUACAAACCUUAGGGA
ncrna:unclassified sequences L31-Corynebacteriaceae ribosomal protein leader